rnacentral:rRNA from 1 species
UAGGGAAUCUUCCGCAAUGGACGCAAGUCUGACGGAGCAACGCCGCGUGAGUGAAGAAGGAUUUCGGUUCGUAAAACUCUGUUGUUAGAGAAGAACAGCGCAUAGAGUAACUGUUAUGCGUGUGACGGUAUCUAACCAGAAAGCCACGGCUAACUACGUGCCAGCAGCCGCGGUAAUACGUAGGUGGCAAGCGUUGUCCGGAUUUAUUGGGCGUAAAGCGAGCGCAGGCGGUCAAUUAAGUCUGAUGUGAAAGCCCCCGGCUCAACCGGGGAGGGUCAUUGGAAACUGGUUGACUUGAGUGCAGAAGAGGAGAGUGGAAUUCCAUGUGUAACGGUGAAAUGCGUAGAUAUAUGGAGGAACACCAGUGGCGAAGGCGACUCUCUGGUCUGUAACUGACGCUGAUGUGCGAAAGCGUGGGGAUCAAACAGG